CGUAACGAUGGGGGCGCUGUCUCUACCCGAGACUCAGUGAAAUUGAAAUCGCCGUGAAGAUGCGGUGUAUCCGCGGCUAGACGGAAAGACCCCGUGAACCUUUACUACAGCUUCACAGUGGACUUUGAAUAUGCUUGUGUAGGAUAGCUGGGAGACUUUGAAACCGGGACGCUAGUUUCGGUGGAGUCAACCUUGAAAUACCAGCCUGGCAUGUUUGAGGUUCUAACCUAGACCCGUGAAUCCGGGUCAGGGACAUUGUGUGGUGGGUAGUUUGACUGGGGCGGUCUCCUCCCAAAGAGUAACGGAGGAGCACGAAGGUACCCUCAGCAUGGUCGGAAAUCAUGCAAUGAGUGCAAGGGCAUAAGGGUGCUUAACUGCGAGACUGACAAGUCGAGCAGGUGCGAAAGCAGGUCCUAGUGAUCCGGUGGUUCUGUAUGGAAGGGCCAUCGC
rnacentral:rRNA from 1 species